AAUCCCCGCCCCCGCCCCCCCCACCCCCCGCACACACGCAGCCUCCCUCCCCGCACUCAGGCACCUCGACCCCCGCACACUGCCGAGGCCCCCUGUCCCCUAUCCAGACACCUCCACUUGAUUCCUCUGCUGCCCACACGCCGAGAAAAGCACUUUCCUCCCGCACCCGCCCCCUCUUUAUGCCUAAAACACCCCCUGGGGAGGAGCGACCCCUUUCCUCACGCGUAGAGACCCCAGUCCCCAAACGCGAGCGCGCCAACCUCCAUCCUCCCACCACAUACACGCACACUCGAGUCCUUUCUCCUCCUUCAGCCCCCCAAGAACGAAGGCACACACAGACACACAGACACACAGACACACAGACACACACACACAACCGGGGCAUUCCUUUGAGAGAGCAACCGAGAACCCAGGCAAAGCCAAAGAAACGUCGGAGGGGGUGGGGGAGGCCGAGGGAGGUAGAUAGGGGCGUCGAGUCUACGCGGGAUUGAAUAAUUCCAGGACCGAGGGGGGUAGUUGCCUCUGUUGCUCCCUUUGCCUGGAAGCCUUACCUAGUCCCAUCCAUGCCUUUGGAAAUCACGCGAAAAUGCUUUGAGCUGGAUCCCAAAUGUCAUCACCUCAACGAAAGCCUUUCCCUGAGCUGUUUAACCGACCGUGCUUCCUCAAAACAGUGAGACCGAUAAAGAAGAAAUAAAAAUUUUUCCAAAUGACAAAAAACAACAAAACAGGAUGGGAAGAAAACCACCAAAAAGAAGUACUUUCAACAACUAUCUGGAAGAUGGGAAGCAAAGAAAGGACUGUAGACAGAAAGCAGAGGAAGCCACGGCCGAGAAUACAUGCUGGGAAUCUACAUUCAAUGAGAAAAUCUGCCUGCCAUGCUCAAUUCUUGACAAGACUGAUAUGUACAAUUCCAGCUAUUCCUUCCAUUAAUGAAAGUGGAAUAUUGAAGCCUCUGACUAUCAUCACUGAAUGCUCUACAUUUCUCCUUCACUUCUUUUACAAGAAUGCAUUGCGGCAAAAAGUAGAGAUCACCUGUCUGUUCAGUAAGU